AUGAGCUCUACAGCAUCCACGGAUUGUGAGAAGAGUUCUGCACAGUGCGAGCAUGAGUCGACACGUUUCUCAAGAAAAGAAACGGCCCUUGUAACUGUCGGAGGACCUGUGUGCUGUACAAAUGAGAGUGUAAUAAGCUGUGAGUCCAGCCUUGGCCAUCGGUAAUGACAACGUCAAGCUGUUCUCCGGUACCUGCUUUCUGGGAUGGAGAAUUUAAGGAAGUGGAGCAAUACGCAAUGUCAUCUGGGGGACCAAGAGUGUGGUUUGAAGGGGACCUCACUGGGAAUGCAUACUAUUCUAGGCAUUUAUACCUGUGAACAAGGAUUGUUGUGCUGCCACCAAGAAAAAUGGAUAAUUCUGAUUUGGAAGAAUUUCACAACCAUUUUCCGUGGGCAGAAAUGAAGAUGCAAAGGCUAUGGUAAAGGAGAAUCAGACCUAGAGACUAUCCUGAGUUUCAUGGAAAUGAUCAGACAGAACACUUCCCCAUCACAAAGUGCUUCUGGCAUGUCAAUGGUAUGUUGUCUGUAUUCAACUGUGGGAUUGCCCUA
rnacentral:lncRNA from 1 species